rnacentral:misc_RNA from 1 species
GACCGUGACGGUACGUGAGCGGUGAGASAACCCAGUGCGCUGGCGGGCCCCCUGCUAAAGUGCGGCCGACCGCGAGUGCGAUGGGAUAUGCUUUGUCUGUGAAAUUUCAAAGUUGUGCCUCUGCACGAUGCGGAGGGCAUAUUCGGUGGGUUGUAUCGCAUAGUCGGGACGCGGCAACUAGGUGACCUUACGUUAAUAACGUCAUGUCCUUUUGCUCACUCUCGCUCCCCUUGGGCGGGCGAGAAGCGAGAAGCGGCCUCUUACGACAUCCCGUGCGUCCUCGGCGGCGGCGCUUGCAGUCGCACACGUGUGCGUGUUGCCUGUUUCGUCUGUCCGUYUGGACCUCGGGACGGUUGAGUGCUUAUGGAUGCGGUGAAUCGGAUGGGGUCGGGUGGGCGCAUGUUGUUGCCGACCCGACGAAUGGAAGAUGUUUGUGCACGUCGCGAGCGGGCAAACGAAUGGAACGGAAUGAACGACCGCCGGCWGGCGGGCGUCGUCGUCGUCGUCUCGCCUCCACGGAGGGAGAGAUGGGCUGCGCCGUCCGCGGGCGUCGUCUAGAARGAUUCGCUACCUGGUUGAUC